AUGCAUACAAACAGUGGGAGCGGACUUGUUCCGUGACUGCGUACCUUUUGUAUAAUGGGUCAACGACUUACAUUCAGUAGCGAGCUUAACCGAAUAGGGGAGGCGUAGGGAAACCGAGUCUGAUAAGGGCGAUUAGUUGCUGGGCGUAGACCCGAAACCAAGUGAUCUAUCCAUGGCCAGGAUGAAGGUGCCGUAACAGGUACUGGAGGUCCGAACCCACUAAUGUUGCAAAAUUAGGGGAUGAGCUGUGGAUAGGGGUGAAAGGCUAAACAAACUCGGAGAUAGCUGGUUCUCCCCGAAAACUAUUUAGGUAGUGCCUCGAGGUACACUGAUGGGGGUAAAGCACUGUUAUGGCUAGGGGGUUAUUGCAACUUACCAACCCAUGGCAAACUAAGAAUACCAUCAAGUGAUUCCUCGGGAGACAGACAUCGGGUGCUAACGUCCGGUGUCAAGAGGGAAACAACCCAGACCGCCAGCUAAGGUCCCAAAUGAUAGAUUAAGUGGUAAACGAAGUGAGAAGGCCCAGACAGCUAGGAUGUUGGCUUAGAAGCAGCCAUCAUUUAAAGAAAGCGUAAUAGCUCACUAGUCGAGUCGUCUUGCGCGGAAGAUGUAACGGGGCUCAAAUCUAUAACCGAAGCUGCGGAUGUGCGCGUAAGCGUAUGUGGUAGGGGAGCGUUCUGUAGGCCUGCGAAGGUGUGUUGUGAAGCAUGCUGGAGGUAUCAGAAGUGCGAAUGUUGACAUGAGUAGCGAUAAAGGGGGUGAAAAGCCCCCUCGCCGAAAGCCCAAGGUUUCCUACGCAACGUUCAUCGGCGUAGGGUGAGUCGGCCCCUAAGGCGAGGCAGAGAUGCGUAGUCGAUGGGAAACAGGUUAAUAUUCCUGUACUUGAUUUAAGUGCGAUGUGGGGACGGAGAAGGUUAGGUCAGCAAACUGUUGGAAUAGUUUGUUCAAGCCGGUAGGUGGGGAGCUUAGGUAAAUCCGGGCUCCUAUUCAACACCGAGAAGUGAUAACGAGGUUCUACGGAACUGAAGUGACCAAUACCACGCUUCCAGGAAAAGCCACUAAGCUUCAGCUUAAAUCGAACCGUACCGCAAACCGACACAGGUGGGCAGGAUGAGAAUUCUAAGGCGCUUGAGAGAACUCAGGAGAAGGAACUCGGCAAAUUGAUACCGUAACUUCGGGAGAAGGUAUGCCCCAUAACGUUAAGGAUUUACUCCGUAAGCGAUGUGGGGCCGCAGAGAAUAGGUGGCUGCGACUGUUUAUUAAAAACACAGCACUCUGCUAACACGAAAGUGGACGUAUAGGGUGUGACGCCUGCCCGGUGCUGGAAGGUUAAUUGAAGAUGUGCAAGCAUCGGAUCGAAGCCCCAGUAAACGGCGGCCGUAACUAUAACGGUCCUAAGGUAGCGAAAUUCCUUGUCGGGUAAGUUCCGACCCGCACGAAUGGCGUAACGAUGGCCACACUGUCUCCUCCUGAGACUCAGCGAAGUUGAA
rnacentral:rRNA from 1 species